CGAGUCCGAGGAGCUAAGGCUCCAAAGUGAUGCGAGUCAGACUUCCCAGAAAAGCCCGAACCACGUUAAUUUCUAAUUACCUGUACCCGAAACCGACACAGGUGGGUAGGUAGAGUAUACUAAGGGGCGCGAGAUAACUCUCUCUAAGGAACUCGGCAAAAUGACUCCGUAACUUCGGGAGAAGGAGUGCCUUAUUUAUAAGGUUGCAAUAACAAGAUCCAAGCAACUGUUUAUCAAAAACACAGGUCUCCGCUAAGUCGUAAGACGAUGUAUGGGGGCUGACGCCUGCCCAGUGCCAGAAGGUUAAAGAAGUUGGUUAGUGUAUGCGAAGCUGAUGACUGAAGCCCUGGUGAACGGCGGCCGUAACGAUAACGGUCCUAAGGUAGCGAAAUUCCUUGUCGGGUAAGUUCCGACCCGCACGAAAGGCGUAAUGAUUUGGAUACUGUCUCGGAGAGAGGCUCGGUGAAAUAGACUUGUCUGUGAAGAUGCGGACUACCUGCACCAGGACAGAAAGACCCUAUGAAGCUUUACUGUAACUUGAAAUUGGAAUUGGACUUUGCUUGCGCAGUAUAGGUGGGAAGCGUUGAAAAUAUUCUUGCGGGAGUAUUGGAGCUAUCAGUGAGAUACCACUCUUGUAAUGUUAGAUUUCUAACUUUGAACCAUAAUCUGGUCAAAGAACAGUUUCAGGUGGGCAGUUUGACUGGGGCGGUCGCCUCCCAAAUGGUAACGGAGGCGUACAAAGGUUUCCUCUGAACGGAUAGAAAUCGUAUCUAGAGUGUAAAGGCAUAAGGAAGCUUGACUGUGAGACCUACAAGUCGAGCAGGGACGAAAGUCGGUCUUAGUGAUCUGACGGUACUGAGUGGAAAGGCCGUCACUCAACGGAUAAAAGUUACUCUAAGGAUAACAGGCUGAUCUCCCCCAAGAGUUCACAUCGACGGGGAGGUUUGGCACCUCGAUGUCGGCUCAUCGCAUCCUGGGGCGGUAGUACGUCCCAAGGGUUGGGCUGUUCGCCCAUGAAAGCGGUACGCGAGCUGGGUUCAGAACGUCGUGAGACAGUUCGGUCCAUAUCCGGUGUAGGCGCUAGAAUAUUGAGAGGAGCCUUCUUUAGUACGAGAGGACCGAGAAGGACACACCGCUGGUGUACCAGUUAUCGUGCCAACGGUAAACGCUGGGUAGCUAUGUGUGGAGUGGAUAACCGCUGAAAGCAUCUAAGUGGGAAGCCCACCUCGAGAUGAGUAUUC
rnacentral:rRNA from 1 species